rnacentral:rRNA from 1 species
CGCGUAGGCGGCUUCUUAAGUCGGGGGUGAAAUCCUAUGGCUCAACCAUAGGCCUGCCCCGAAACUGGGGAGCUUGAGUCCGUGAGAGGAAAGCGGAAUUCCUGGUGUAUCGGUGAAAUGAGUUGAUAUCAGGAGGAACACCGGUGGCGAAGGCGGCUUUCUGGUGCGGUACUGACGCUGAGGUGCGAAAGCAUGGGGAGCAAACG